AUUGAACGCUGGCGGCAGGCUUAACACAUGCAAGUCGAGCGGGGGAAGGUAGCUUGCUACCGGACCUAGCGGCGGACGGGUGAGUAAUGCUUAGGAAUCUGCCUAUUAGUGGGGGACAACAUCUCGAAAGGGAUGCUAAUACCGCAUACGUCCUACGGGAGAAAGCAGGGGAUCUUCGGACCUUGCGCUAAUAGAUGAGCCUAAGUCGGAUUAGCUAGUUGGUGGGGUAAAGGCCUACCAAGGCGACGAUCUGUAGCGGGUCUGAGAGGAUGAUCCGCCACACUGGGACUGAGACACGGCCCAGACUCCUACGGGAGGCAGCAGUGGGGAAUAUUGGACAAUGGGGGGAACCCUGAUCCAGCCAUGCCGCGUGUGUGAAGAAGGCCUUAUGGUUGUAAAGCACUUUAAGCGAGGAGGAGGCUACUUUAGUUAAUACCUAGAGAUAGUGGACGUUACUCGCAGAAUAAGCACCGGCUAACUCUGUGCCAGCCGCCGCCGUAAGAC
rnacentral:rRNA from 1 species